rnacentral:rRNA from 1 species
CCUACGGGAGGCAGCAGUGGGGAAUAUUGGGCAAUGGGCGCAAGCCUGACCCAGCAACGCCGCGUGAAGGAAGAAGGCUUUCGGGUUGUAAACUUCUUUUCUGAGGGACGAAGAAAGUGACGGUACCUCAGGAAUAAGCCACGGCUAACUACGUGCCAGCAGCCGCGGUACUACGUAGGUGGCAAGCGUUGUCCGGAUUUAUGGGGUGUAAAGGGAGUGUAGGCGGGAAAGCAAGUCAGAUGUGAAAACUCAGGGCUCAACCCUGAGCCUGCAUUUGAAACUGUUUUUCUUGAGUGCUGGAGAGGCAAUCGGAAUUCCGUGUGUAGCGGUGAAAUGCGUAGAUAUACGGAGGAACACCAGUGGCGAAGGCGGAUUGCUGGGCAUUAACUGACGCUGAGGCGCGAAAGCGUGGGGAGCAAACAGGAUUAGAUACCCUAGUAGUC